AAAUGACUCUCGGCAACGGAUAUCUCGGCUCUCGCAUCGAUGAAGAACGUAGCGAAAUGCGAUACUUGGUGUGAAUUGCAGAAUCCCGUGAACCAUCGAGUCUUUGAACGCAAGUUGCGCCCGAGGCCUCUUGGCCGAGGGCACGUCUGCCUGGGCGUCACGCAU
rnacentral:rRNA from 1 species